AACGAACGCUGGCGGCAGGCCUAACACAUGCAAGUCGAACGAGACCUUCGGGUCUAGUGGCGCACGGGUGCGUAACGCGUGGGAACCUGCCUUUAGGUUCGGAAUAACUCAGAGAAAUUUGAGCUAAUACCGGAUGAUGUCUUCGGACCAAAGAUUUAUCGCCUUUAGAUGGGCCCGCGUUGGAUUAGCUAGUUGGUGGGGUAAAGGCCUACCAAGGCGACGAUCCAUAGCUGGUCUGAGAGGAUGAUCCGCCACACUGGGACUGAGACACGGCCCAGACUCCUACGGGAGGCAGCAGUGGGGAAUAUUGGGCAAUGGAGGAAACUCUGACCCAGCGACGCCGCGUGAGGGAUGAAGGCCUUC
rnacentral:rRNA from 1 species